rnacentral:rRNA from 1 species
GACGAACGCUGGCGGCGCGCUUAACACAUGCAAGUCGAGCGAAGCGGCGGACGGGUGAGUAACACGUGAGUAACCUGCCUUAGACAUUGGGAUAGCCUCGGGAAACCGGGAUUAAUCCCAAAUGGUCUCAGAUGGACUCGCGUCCCAUUAGCUAGUUGGUGAGGUAAUGGCCAACCAAGGCGACGAUGGGUAGCCGGCAUGAGAGGGUGAACGGGCACAUUGGAACUGAGAGACGGUCCAAACUCUACGGGAGGAAGCAGUGGGGAAUAUUGAACAAGGGAGGGAACUCUGAGGCAGCGAGGCCGCGUGAACGAAGAAGUCUUUCGGGUCGUAAAGUUCUUUUAUAUGGGAAGCGGUACCAGAAGAAAAAGCCCCGGCUAACUACGUGCCAGCAGCCGCGGUAAUUC